CAGCCGCCGCGGUAAUACGUAGGUGGCAAGCGUUGUCCGAAAUUAUUGGGCGUAAAGCGCGCGCAGGUGGUUUAAUAAGUCUGAUGUGAAAGCCCACGGCUUAACCGUGGAGGGUCAUUGGAAACUGUUAAACUUGAGUGCAGGAGAGAAAAGUGGAAUUCCUAGUGUAGCGGUGAAAUGCGUAGAGAUUAGGAGGAACACCAGUGGCGAAGGCGGCUUUUUGGCCUGUAACUGACACUGAGGCGCGAAAGCGUGGGGAGCAAACAGGAUUAGAUACCCCCGUAGUCCCUGUCUCUUAUAC
rnacentral:rRNA from 1 species